UCGCUGUGAUGAAUGCUUCCAAAACCAUUCGUAGUUUCCACCAGAAGGUGACUGAUGAUGGCUAAGUUCCUUCCUUGGAUGUCUGAGCGA